CCCUUAAAUAGCGGUAGGCGGGCGCUGAGCGCUCUCUCGGCCUUAGCGCCAUCUUCUUAGGAACCUCUGCGCCAUGAGAGCCAAGUGGAGGAAGAAGCGAAUGCGCAGGCUGAAGCGCAAAAGAAGAAAGAUGAGGCAGAGGUCCAAGUAAACCGCAAGCUUGUGCGCCGGGAAAGCCACAGGAGAAGAGGGAAGCCAGAGGCCAGGGGGCCGGUCCAAGCUGUCGGACUGCGUGCCGGCUGUCUAGAACGUCUCCGUGGGAUCUGGAACAUUCAUACGGGCCAUCUGAACGCCGCGGCCGCCUUUUGAGACCCACCCUGCUCUUACAAAAACAGUCUAUCUCUUGGAUCUUUGCCCUGGACCCGUGACAUUCUGGACUGAUUCUGUUCUCAGUUGUGGCUGAAUGUAAC